rnacentral:rRNA from 1 species
ACUCCUACGGGAGGCAUCAGUGGGGAAUAUUGCGCAAUGGGCGAAAGCCUGACGCAGCCAUGCCGCGUGGAUGAUGAAGGUCUUAGGAUUGUAAAAUCCUUUCACCGGGGACGAUAAUGACGGUACCCGGAGAAGAAGCCCCGGCUAACUUCGUGCCAGCAGCCGCGGUAAUACGAAGGGGGCUAGCGUUGCUCGGAAUUACUGGGCGUAAAGGGCGCGUAGGCGGACAGUUAAGUUGGGGGUGAAAGCCCGGGGCUCAACCUCGGAAUUGCCUUCAAUACUGGCUGUCUUGAGUACGGGAGAGGUGAGUGGAACUCCGAGUGUAGAGGUGAAAUUCGUAGAUAUUCGGAAGAACACCAGUGGCGAAGGCGACUCACUGGCCCGUUACUGACGCUGAGGCGCGAAAGCGUGGGGAGCAAACAGGAUUAGAUACCCUGGUAGGCUCUGC